AUCGCUUCUCGGCUCUCUAUGAGCUAAGAUCAAGCGUAGUACCUGUUCUUAUCAGUUUGAAUGGUGCUGGGAUUUACUGAAUUACGAAUUACAUUUUAGGGUGCCUCGAGGCUUACAUAAUCAUCUUUUUCUUAUUUAAAUCUAAAUAAAUAAAAUACAGGGAGAACAGAA
rnacentral:snRNA from 1 species